rnacentral:rRNA from 1 species
UAGGGAAUCUUCCACAAUGGACGCAAGUCUGAUGGAGCAACGCCGCGUGAGUGAAGAAGGUUUUCGGAUCGUAAAGCUCUGUUGUUGGUGAAGAAGGAUAGAGGCAGUAACUGGUCUUUAUUUGACGGUAAUCAACCAGAAAGUCACGGCUAGCUACGUGCCAGCAGCCGCGGUAAUACGUAGGUGGCAAGCGUUGUCCGGAUUUAUUGGGCGUAAAGCGAGCGCAGGCGGAAUGAUAAGUCUGAUGUGAAAGCCCACGGCUCAACCGUGGAACUGCAUCGGAAACUGUCAUUCUUGAGUGCAGAAGAGGAGAGUGGAACUCCAUGUGUAGCGGUGGAAUGCGUAGAUAUAUGGAAGAACACCAGUGGCGAAGGCGGCUCUCUGGUCUGCAACUGACGCUGAGGCUCGAAAGCAUGGGUAGCGAACAGGAUUAGAUACCCUGGUAGUCCAUGCCGUAAACGAUGAGCGCUAGGUGUUGGGGGACUUUCCGGUCCUCAGUGCCGCAGCAAA